rnacentral:rRNA from 2 species
UCUGGGUCAUUUAGAGGAAGUAAAAGUCGUAACAAGGUCUCCGUAGGUGAACCUGCGGAGGGAUCAUUACACAAAUAUGAAGGCGGGCUGGAACCUCUCGGGGUUACAGCCUUGCUGAAUUAUUCACCCUUGUCUUUUGCGUACUUCUUGUUUCCUUGGUGGGUUCGCCCACCACUAGGACAAACAUAAACCUUUUGUAAUUGCAAUCAGCGUCAGUAACAAAUUAAUAAUUACAACUUUCAACAACGGAUCUCUUGGUUCUGGCAUCGAUGAAGAACGCAGCGAAAUGCGAUAAGUAGUGUGAAUUGCAGAAUUCAGUGAAUCAUCGAAUCUUUGAACGCACAUUGCGCCCUUUGGUAUUCCAAAGGGCAUGCCUGUUCGAGCGUCAUUUGUACCCUCAAGCUUUGCUUGGUGUUGGGCGUCUUGUCUCUAGCUUUGCUGGAGACUCGCCUUAAAGUAAUUGGCAGCCGGCCUACUGGUUUCGGAGCGCAGCACAAGUCGCACUCUCUAUCAGCAAAGGUCUAGCAUCCAUUAAGCCUUUUUUUCAACUUUUGACCUCGGAUCAGGUAGGGAUACCCGCUGAACUUAAGCAUAUCAAUAAGCGGAGGAA